CAGACCCUCACCCGCAGCCUCGCUCGCGUCGCGCAGCCCGCCGCCGCCCUCUCCCUCGCGCUCGUCUCCGCCGCCCUCUCCCUCGCCCGCGUUGCCGCCGCCCUUUUCCGCUUGCUUUGUCGCCUCUCCCGCGGUCUCUCGCUUAUCUGUCGCACCAAGCUCGAGAAAAAUACGAUUUUUCCUCCUCCGACCACCGGAUCUGCAGUGCUGGUGCUCGAUCCGUCGAGCCAAAGUUUGGGUGGAGCUCCAAUCAUGGUUGUGGUGGUGCGGAGCUCCACUCGUAGGUUGUGGUGGUUUGGAGAAAUCCUCCCAGAUCUCAGCGGUGGUUUGAGGUAGCCGGAGGCGGAGGUUGGUGGAGGAGCACGAGAUGGAGAGGAAAGUGGUGGUGGUGUGCGUUGUGGUGGGGUUCCUCGGCGGCGCUCGGAUUCGCCGCGUCAAGGACAACAGCGACGGCUGCUGGGAGCGGGAGCUCGGAGGCGACCUGGAGGUGAAUGCGAACGCCCGAAGGACGACAAGGCAAGAGCAGAACGACGUCUACCUGCCGGCCGAGAUGGGGAUCAUGAGCAAGCAGCCCACCAACUACUUCUGCAAGACGCUCACCACCAGCGACACCAACACGCACGGCGGCUUCUCCGUGCCGUGCCAUGCCGCUGAGCGCGUCUUCCCUCCUCUGGAUGCUCAGGAGCUAAUUGCGAGGGACAUCCAUGACAACGAGUGGAAGUUCAGGCACAUCUUCCGAGUUAUUGUUGAAGGAAAUGGUGAAGCAAACGGCAAUGGCAAGCUGGUCAGCGUCGUCAUCUGGACAGAGGCAUGCCAGCAAUGGUAAGCUGAUGCUACUUGUUUUUCCUCGCAGGCAAUCAAAGUACUCAAUGAUGAGAUGAAUUGUGACAUUAUCAAGAUUGGUAGCAUCGUAAGAAACAAGGGCCAGAGGAGAAACACAGAAGCACGGCCAGGCCGCUCCCCGCAGCCGUCGACGGUCCUGCACUCACCCCCACCUCCACCGCCCCCUGUCCACUCCGGCCCUCUUGUCCUGGACGAUCAUGGACUCAGGAGAGCUGGCGACCUGGGAGUGAGUAUAAUGAUCAGGGGAAACAACUGGAUGCUGUAGGUGAAGCAGCGGGAGGGAGUCUUGACCGGAGGUGGACCUGGGCAGAGGAGAAGUGCUGGAGGCCGGAGGUGUAGCUGAUGCAGAGCCCAGGAGCACCUGAUGGUAGAUGGGCGGAGGAGAAGCAGCUCUUAGGUGCUCCUGGGCGAGGGAUUGUGGCCGAGAAGGAGUGUGGUUGAGGAGAUCGUGGCCGAGAAGCGGAUCCUGGGCGAAGGCGAGGCGAGAUCGCGAGGAAGAGGACGCGCGGGGAAGAGGAUCGUGAUCUGGGAGUAUUUUCAAAUUAGGGGUAGAAACGACUUUUUACCCUAUUUUCACCUGGUCGGGACUCUAUCCCAGCGUCUUACAUUACGGAACGGAGGGAGUAGUAUUACUGCCUGUAUUCCAACUUUAACUCGUUUCCAAAACGAGCACGAUUCCGUUCUGAAAUUGUCGUUGCUUAUA